ensembl:rRNA 5S_rRNA 5S ribosomal RNA
CUGCACUAUCACCCUGCAGCCCAAAACUGGUUGCCCACUGAAGCUAAGCAGGGUUGAGCUGGUCAGUACCUGGAUGGGAGACCUCCUGGGAAAACUAGGUUGCUGC